rnacentral:lncRNA from 1 species
AGAGAGACUUGCUGCCCUGGGUUUUUGGUUUUUGUUUUUUGAGACAAGAGUCUGGCUCUGUCGCCCAGGCUGCAGUGCAGGGGCGCGAUUUCAGCUCAUUGCCGCCUCAACCUCCUGGGCUUAAGCGAGUCUCUUGUCUCAGCCCCCGACGUAGCUGGGACUACAGGCACACACCGCCAUACCUGGCUAAUUUUUGUAUGUUUUGUAGCGACAGAUUUUU